rnacentral:tRNA from 1 species
GCCCGGAUGGUGAAAUUGGUAGACACAAGGGACUUAAAAUCCCUCGCCCCGUUAAACGGGCAUCCCGGUUCGAUUCCGGGUCCGGGCACCA